rnacentral:rRNA from 1 species
GUAGGGUGCGAGCGUUAAUCGGAAUUACUGGGCGUAAAGCGUGCGCAGGCGGUUCGUUAAGUCUGAUGUGAAAGCCCCGGGCUCAACCUGGGAAUGGCAUUGGAAACUGGCGAGCUGGAGUAUGGCAGAGGGGGGUGGAAUUCCAGGUGUAGCGGUGGAAUGCGUAGAUAUCUGGGAGAACGCCGAAGGCGAAGGCAGCUUGCUGGGUCGGUUCUGACGCUGAGGCACGAAAGCUAGGGGAGCAAACAGGAUUAGAUACCCUGGUAGUCCUAGCCCUAAACGAUGGGCACUUUGUUUCGGGGGCCCUGAUGCCCUCGGAGCCGUAGCUAAUGCGUUAAGUGCCCCGCCUGGGGAGUAUGGUCGCAAGGCUA